GACGAACGCUGGCGGCGUGCCUAAUACAUGCAAGUCGACCUUAGUGGCGAACGGGUGAGUAACACGUGGGUAACCUGCCCAUCAGAAGGGGAAAACAUUUGGAAACACGUGCUAAUACCGAAUACGGAUGGAUGGACACGCUGUUCAUUAGCUAGUGGGUGAGGUAACGGUUCUCCAAGGGGCCGAUGCAUAGCCGACCUGAGAGGGUGAUCGGCCACAGUGGGACGGAGACACGGCCCAAACUCCUACGGGAGGCAGCAGUAGGGAAUCUUCGGAAAUGGACGAAAGUCUGACCGAGCAACGCCGCGUGAGUGAAGAAGGUGUUCGGAUCGUAAAACUCUGUUGUUAGAGAAGCGGUAUCUAAAGAGAAAGCCACGGCUAACUACGUGCCAGCAGCCGCGGUAAUUC
rnacentral:rRNA from 1 species